rnacentral:rRNA from 1 species
AGUGAACGCUGGCGGUAGGCCUAACACAUGCAAGUCGAACGGCAGCACAGUAAGAGCUUGCUCUUACGGGUGGCGAGUGGCGGACGGGUGAGGAAUACAUCGUAAUCUACUUUUUCGUGGGGGAUAACGUAGGGAAACUUACGCUAAUACCGCAUACGACCUACGGGUGAAAGCAGGGGAUCUUCGGACCUUGCGCGAUUGAAUGAGCCGAUGUCGGAUUAGCUAGUUGGCGGGGUAAAGGCCCACCAAGGCGACGAUCCGUAGCUGGUCUGAGAGGAUGAUCAGCCACACUGGAACUGAGACACGGUCCAGACUCCUACGGGAGGCAGCAGUGGGGAAUAUUGGACAAUGGGCGCAAGCCUGAUCCAGCCAUACCGCGUGGGUGAAGAAGGCCUUCGGGUUGUAAAGACCUUUUGUUGGGAAAGAAAAGCAGCAGGUUAAUACCCCGCUGUUCUGACGGUACCCAAAGAAUAAGCACCGGCUAACUUCGUG